rnacentral:rRNA from 1 species
GACGUAGGGCGCGAGCGUUGUCCGGAAUUAUUGGGCGUAAAGAGCUCGUAGGCGGUUUGUCGCGUCUGCUGUGAAAUCCCAGGGCUUAACCCUGGGCCUGCAGUGGGUACGGGCAAACUAGAGUGCGGUAGGGGAGAUCGGAAUUCCUGGUGUAGCGGUGAAAUGCGCAGAUAUCAGGAGGAACACCGGUGGCGAAGGCGGAUCUCUGGGCCGUAACUGACGCUGAGGAGCGAAAGCAUGGGGAGCGAACAGG